UAAUGUUCAAGGUCAUUACAGGAACAGCCAUAAGGUGUCACAAUUGCCCCAUGUUCCAAGUACCUGUCCCAGAAAACAGUGUAAUUUGUACACUCAAACUCUGCUGUUAUUUACAGAGUGCUCACCAGGGUUCACAAGUUGUAUUUCAAGGUGCUGAAAAAACAUAUAGUUGCCAUGUACUUGACAUUAAACUAAGCUUUACAAAAGAUCUUUCCACAUCAGGAACAAGGGACAAAAAAGAAAGUGGAAAGCUUCUGCUUAUAUAAGUAAUGUAGAGUGUAACAAAGUAAUUUUGACAACUGCAGGACUCAGGAAGAGGUUUAAUGAGGAAGAGCCAAAAGGAUGUAAACCUGCACUUUACUCCCUGAGGGGCUUUUUCAAGUGUCAUAUUCUUGCACCAGCAUUUACUUGUAUCUGGGACAGGACUGGUGCCUGGUGGUUGCAUGUUGCCCUGAUUCUUAAAAGUGUUAAGUUUUCUUUUAUAAAUCUUUUGAACGUUUUAAAGUUCUCAUAAAACUUCUUUAGCCUUCUGAUAAGGUUAACAUAUUUCUACUAGAGUUCUCACACGCUGUUCAUGUAAAUAAUGAUUGUUUUGCAUUCUUCAUUGUGGGAAGAGAGAAUUAAUAGACUGUUAGCUUAACCAGUGUGGUUGGAGAAGUAGCAAUUUCAUCCUCCAAUCCACUGUCACUUUUGGAAUUCUAUGUAUUGCGAGGUCAAAAACAAAAUUAUCUCUUUUUCUCUCUAAAACUCGCCAAGCUUCUGUGUACUCAUUUCGUGUCCAAUAGCAACAGUUGCAGGAGCAGCCAUCGGGUGUCAGGAUUGCCCCACGCUGCAGCUUCACUUGGUCACUGAGGAUGGAAGGAUACCUGGAAUUUUAUUCCUUUUGCCAGUGGAAAACAAUGCUAGAUCUGCUUGUAUGUUUAGAGCAAGAUGGAUAAUGUGGAACUUUAGUGAUGUGUGAGGAUGCAGAUAAAGGUUGGAACUUGUGCUUUAGUGGAAGCCACAAAUAACACCCUGAAGACACUGAGCUUCAUGAUUAGACCAAGUAUAAAAGCAAAUAAAAUGUGAGCUGUGUCUCACACGCAACCAA